GGAGCAAAUUGAUGAGUCUCUACUGACACCUAUUGACUCUAACUAGGAACUUACCCUUGAAAAUACAAGCAAUGUCAAGGUUUCGCUAGAAACCUUGAGGCAGAAUGUUGAACACUAGAUGGAACUAUUGUAUCAUUAUUAUACAUAGAAAAACCUUGUCACUGGACUUCAUAACUGUGGAGGGCAGUCUAUUGGAGGAGGACAGACAAAGAUGAUCUGUCAUAUAACUGAUCAGGAGGCAUAGAGAACAUCUCGGUGGUUGUGGCUGAAUAGUGAGAAGCAGUGGACGAGCCACCUGCCACACUUGGGCUUGAUCAACCCAUCCUUCAGAAGGGGUAGUGGGCAGCACAUGUAGGAUAAGUAGUACCUCACCUGAAGAUCAGCCAGGAGCUGCAGAAAUGGCUCUUUGUGUACAUCAACCCUUCAAAGACAACAGUUGUCCUUUCCAGAAUAACUAUUCAUUUGACUAUUCUCUAAAUACAUCACUGUCCUGCCAGACAGGCAUAUUCAUGUAGAGGAGUUAACAGACAGACAUUGGUACAAUUUCAGAAUCCAACAUUGAUUUGCAGAAGAUAUAUCUGUUGAAGGAUUUGUAAACAUGUUUAUCACUGUAUUCUUCAAAUCAUGAAGAAAAUGUAUAAUAAUUGGAACAGUUUAUUUCCAAAAUGCUAUAUCUCCAAAUGUUUCAGAUUUCUGUUUUCAUCAGAAAUGAUUGCUUAUGGGUACCUUUAUGUGUGUGAAAAAUAUGUUCUCAGAUAUUUUAUUUAUAGAUUUUAGAUGUGUAUGAAAAUGUGAUGUUUUGCCAAAUGCUAUAUAUCCAUUGUUGAGCUGGAAUGGAAUUUUCGUAUCCUGUAUAUUUGACUGUGAUAUGUGGUGUCUCACCUAGCCAUCUUAAGACUUCCUUGAAGGCGCUCUGGAUAAGAGCAUAUGUUAAUGAUUAAAAUAUAAAAUAUAAAUGUUUUACAAACUCUCAUAUUACUAUAUAUUUUUUAAAAUGUUUUCAAAAUAAAAGUCUUCAUAAAAUAUAUAACCAAUAAUUCUUUAUAUGGAGUCAUUUGUUUUACCUCAAAUCCUCAAGGUAUAUUAAAAUGUGCUACUUUUUUUGGUUCAUAUAGCUGCUCUAUCAGUUUUCAUUUCUUUCAUGUCUUCAUUCCUUCACAAUGAGUAUACCUCAUUGUUCCCAACAAUCAGGCAACAAAUGUCUGAAUUUUAGGCGCACCUUAUGUACUAAUCUAACUUUCAUUACUAAGCCUUUAUAAAUGCUUUAUAAAUAAACUUAAUAAUGCUUAUAAUUUGUAAUGCUUUACAUUUUAUGAAUGCCAAUUUAUUCACAGAAUCUUCACUACUUAUUUACACUUGAUUCAUGUUAUAUUAUAAACAUAUAGGCUAUAAAACAACUAUACACUGAGUGUUCAAAACAUUAGGAACACCUGCUCUUUCCAUGACGUAGCCUGACCAGGUGAAUCCAGGUGAAAGCUAUGAUCCCUUAUUCAUGCCACCUGCUAAAUCCAUUUCAAUCAGUGUAGAUGAAGGGGAGAAGCCAGGUUAAAGAAUGAUUUUUAAGCCUUGAGACAAGUGAGACAUGGAUUGUGUAUGAGGGUGAAUGGGCAAGACAAAAUAUUUAUGUGACUUUGAAUUGGGUAUGGUAGAAGGUGCCAGGCAAGAACUGAAACACUGCUGGGUUUUUCACAUGGAACAGUUUCCUGUGUGUAUCAAGAAUGGCCCACCACCCAAAGGACAACUUGACCAAACUGUGGAAAGCAUUGGAAUCAACAUGGAUCAGCAUCCCUGUCGAACACUUUCGACACCUUGUAGAGUCCAUGCCCCGAUGAAUUGAGGCUGUUCUAAGGGCAAAAGGGGGUGCAACUCAAUAUUAGGAAGGUGUUCUUAAUGUUCUUGUACACUCAGUGUAGAGUUAAAAGAAAAUUAUAUUUUUAUAAAUACAUGUUUUUCAAUGUUGAGUUUGUAGACUGCACAACACUAACAACUAACCCCUAAGUUGAUUUAAUCAUGAUACAGAGCCUUCAGAAAGUAUUCAUACCACUCAACGUUUUCCCCAUUUUGUUGUGUUACAGCCUGAAUUUAAAAUGGAUUACGUUUUGUUGUUUUGUCACUGGCCUAUCAACAAUACCUCAUAAUGUCAAAGUGGAAUGAUGUUAAAAAAAUGAAAUAAAAUACAAAUCUAAUUAAAAACAAAUUAAAAGCUGAAA
rnacentral:lncRNA from 1 species